UAAGGCAGGUACAUGAGUACAGCAGGAGCUGUAGAGGAACUAACGUACCUGCUUUAGAGGUGUAUACUUCUGCUUCACAAUAAUCUCAGCUGACAACCCACAGAGGCCAAUCAAGACUAUACUUAUUUGUGCCUGAAAAGCAUUGCAGGACAAGAUUUGUUGGAACAGUUUCAAAAGAUACAUUUAAGAUGGAAGGAAAAAACCUUGUUGCAUUGUUCCUAUUAAUUGCAAUUGCAGGUGCUGCAGCCCAAACAACAACUGCAGCCCCGACUACAACUGCAGCUCUGACUACAACUGCAGCCCCCACUACAACUGCAGCCCAAACUACAACUGCAGCCCUGACUACAACUGCAGCUGCCACUACAACUGCAGCCCUGACUACAACUGCAGCCCCCACUACAACUGCAGCCCCCACAACAACUGCAGCCCCCACUACAACUGCAGCUCCCACUACAACUGCAGCCCUGACUACAACUGCAGCCCCAACUACAACUGCAGCCCCAACUACAACUGCAGCCCCAACUACAA